AGAGAAUGACAUUUGAUCGAGAGUCUGAGAGCAACUACGUAUAGUAGAAGAGCCACAAUUUAGCGUAGUGUCUCCUCUCCUCUUGUUUUGCUUUUAUCUUUAUUAAUUUAUUUUUCUAUGCUAUUCGAAUUCUUCUGUCUUCAUUAGAGGAAAAAAAUAACAAAAUUUUCGUAGCGAAACCAUCAAGAAAAUUAACUAUUAUAUAACCUGC
rnacentral:lncRNA from 1 species